rnacentral:lncRNA from 1 species
AUGUUGACUCUGAAGCAGGUGACUGUAGGACGUGGGGAAAGAUGGAGAUCCUUUCUACCUGGAGGUGUGGAGUGUGUGGAAGAAUUCAGAAGAACUGCAGGUUUAUUCAUCUCUUUGGUCUUCCACAUGCUGGACAUUGGGAACACAAAGACAAACGCAACAGGUCCUGGUCUUAACAUGAGGUCGAGUUCCUGCUCUGUUAACACACGGAUGGCUGUGCGUGUUAGGAGUGAUACAAAGCCAAGUUCGCAGAGGGCAGCUGGCUGCUUGGAUGGCUGCAGAGGGCUUCCCCCCGAAGAACCACAGUCCA